rnacentral:tRNA from 2 species
GGUUCCGUAGCUCAGCAGGAUAGAGCAUCAGAUUCCUAAUCUGAGGGUCACGCGUUCGAAUCGCGUCGGGAUCA